GAGUGAGACCGAUCAAAUCAAAACUCCGCAGUUAAAUGUGCUUGGGCGAGAGUAGUACUAGGAUUGGUGACCUCCUAGGAAGUUCUCGUGUUGCACCCC
rnacentral:rRNA from 1 species